UCCAGAAGGGCUCUUUGGUGAGGCAAGCGAGGAGCUCAGGAUACUCAGCAGGCUUUGGAAGGAGGAGCUGAGACAAUUUUGUUCUUGUGUUGGCUCCAGCAGGACAAAGUUCUGAUACUAGCAUUUCCAGUGUCACUGCGGAGUGAGAGGACUGCAAAGCUAAAGCUCAUGAUAAACAGCUUCACCCAGAACAUAGAGAUUCACUGCUCUGACAUAGAUUCUGCUGCCUUGGGAACUCUGCCUGGAGCUCCAGCCUCUCCUUCAUCCAUAUUCUACCUCUAGGAAACUCACUGACAUCUUUGCAACUUCAUCUCAGGAUGGAAGGCAAUGCAUCUACCUCCAUGACUGGGGACUUCUGGCCAAGAGGGAGACCAUGUUCCAUUAGUUUUGGACAUUGUUGAGACUGGCGAGCAGCCUGCAGGAAAAAUGAUAUCCUACUCAGUUCAUAUGAGUAGGCUACGCAGGCAUGCAUGUGGUACAGAAAAAUACGCAGACAAAUAGAUUUAAAAUAUUGCCUUAAAGAUUGAAAGAGCUGAAGGAGCUUGCAACCCCAUAAGAACAACAAUGCCAACAAACCAGAGCUUCCAGGGACUAAACCACUACCCAAAGACUAUACAUGGAAUGACCCACGGCUCCAAAUGCAUAUGUAGCAGAGGAUAGCUUUGUUGGGCACCAGUGGAAGGGGAAACCCUUGUUCCUGCUAAGGUUGGACCCCCA
ensembl:lncRNA